UACGAAAGGGGCAAGCGUUGUUCGGAUUUACUGGGCGUAAAGGGCACGCAGGCGGUCUUGCCAGUCAGGGGUGAAAGCCCGGGGCUAAACCCCGGAACUGCCUCUGAUACUGCAAGACUAGAGACUAGGAGAGGGUGGUGGAAUUCCCAGUGUAGAGGUGAAAUUCGUAGAUAUUGGGAGGAACACCAGAGGCGAAGGCGGCCACCUGGACUAGAUCUGACGCUCAGGUGCGAAAGCGUGGGGAGCAAACAGG
rnacentral:rRNA from 1 species